AGAUAAGGCUUUCACUGCAGUUUUGUGUUGGUGUAGUUAUAAGGCCAUUCCUGAACCUUAUGCACCAUAUUGGAUGAAGAAAUGGGUUUCUUGACCUUGCUCUACUAUUCAGGUCUCUUGGUUGGGUUACUUAAAUUGACGACUAUUCAAUUACUGGGAUUUUGACAUGGGAUCAGCUCACAAAUAGAUGGUAGAAAAGCCCUACAUGUCAUUUAGGGUCAAGACUACGUCAGAUUGAAUGGUUGGAACAAACCAGAUAGUAAUUCUUUCCUCACAAAAUUUGCUCUAUUGAUGUAUCAAUGUUUUAGUGCUGAGAUAUGAAACCUAUGAGAUAGUCCAGGACUUGAGGCAGAAACGGAAAUGCCUAAUUCUCAUAUUCAUGAUUUAAUAAUAUGUUAUCGGCAAAAGGUGCUGUUACUGAA